GGGAAUAUGGCUUAGUGGUAGAGCGCUUGCCUAGCAUGCAUGAAGUCCUGGGUUUGAUUCCUCAGUACCA
rnacentral:tRNA from 1 species